rnacentral:rRNA from 1 species
UACUAGAGUAGCACUCGCAUAUCAAUAAGCGGAGGAAAAGAAACUAACAAGGAUUCCCCUAGUAACGGCGAGUGAAGCGGGAAGAGCUCAAAUUUGAAAUCUUAAAGGGUUUCCCUUUACGAAUUGUAGUUUAAAGAAGUGUUUUCUGUUGAGGUUUUGGUAAAAGUUCUUUGGAAUAGGACAUCAUAGAGGGUGAGAAUCCCGUAUUUGACCUUUACUUUCAACUUUGUGAUACACUUUCAAAGAGUCGGAUUGUUUGGGAAUGCAGUCCAAAAUGGGUGGUAAAUUUCAUCUAAAGCUAAAUAUUGGCGAGAGACCGAUAGCGAACGAGUACCGUGAGGGAAAGAUGAAAAGAACUUUGAAAAGAGAGUUAAACAGUACGUGAAAUUGUCAAAAGGGAAGCGUUUGACACCAGUGUUGUUUUUCUGAAAAUCAAUUAAAGAACUGUUUAUGCUAAGCUGUUUAGACUUUAUCAGCUAUCUGUUUAGUUUUGAGCUUUUCUUUAAUGCACUUUUCAGUUAACAAGUCAACAUCAAUUUCUUUUGCUGUAAAAAAGCUUGAGGAAGGUGGCUUGAGAUUCGUCUUAAGUGUUUAUAGCCUCUUGCCUAUGCAGUCGGAGAGAUUGAGGUCUGCAGCGUAGAUCCUUCGGGGCUAAAUGCAUUUGUGCUAAGUUAUAGCAUUUUAUAGACAACUUGUUGACUAUGAUUUGUCUUGUAGCUUACUCGCUUAUGUUAUUUUACCUACGCUUAGGAUGUUGAGCGCAUGUCUCUCUCU